rnacentral:lncRNA from 1 species
UGAAUUUCAGAUUUUAGAACUGUUUAUACAGUGGAUUUAGAAGGUAAGUGACCUUUUUAGUGUUUUUUAUGUACCUUGUAGUUAUUUUAUAAUUACUUAAUUAAAUUAAUGGUUUUGAUUUUAGUGGUCAAUUUGAAGCAAUUUUACGUGGUCUAGAUGAGGCUCUGCCAUGUGUUAUGGUGACCCUUCCAUAACUAAGUUAUUUUUUCUUAUUAUCUAAUCCUCAUCAUUUGUAGUUUCAGGUUUCUUGUUUUCCUAAAGUCCUGAUCUAAAACACACAUAUAAAAUAUUGAUAGCUAGACACUAUGAUAUGGGACUUAUUUUGGCAAUAGGUUCUAUGGAGUCGGUUGUGGUGAACAUCUGCAACCGCGGAUUAACUGCAUCUUUUGGGAGCCAUAUUUGGUUGCUGAGCUAACUUCUAACCAUGGAUUAACUUUCAUCUCCAGCAUCAACUGAGCAACAAAUUAAAGGGAUUGGGCGAGACACACCCUCAGUAUGAAGUACGAUAUAGGUCUCCAAGUAUGCUGCACACUGAUAUUUCCUUAGAUCCCUUCAAAUUUUAAUUAUUUGGCCCAAAAUCAGUUCAUGUGCUGCCCAUUACUUCUAAGUUAAAUAUCAGCCACAAUAUUUGACAUGUGUUUUAGCUUUGCUUUUUGGUUAGUAAUGAUCAUAAAUUUUUUGUUGAAAGUUAAAUGAAUUAGCAUGAAUUGGUUGAAUCAACCGGGAUUCAGAUUAUCAAAGAUAGUAGGUUGAACUUUUAAAUUUCUUAGUACAUGUACCAAUAAGCACAGCAAUACAGCGCAGUCUCUGUGACCAGUGGUUGUAUUCCGUCCUACUACUGUCAUCUGAUUCAAUUGUAGCUUAAUUUAUUAUAAUAGGUUAGACUUGAUCAAAUCAACUGUGUUAAUCACUCAGUCACUCACUCCAGCAUGGCAAAUUGGCAAAUGGCAACACUAGCCUAAACCUGAUGUGUUAUAUUUCAGCUAAUCAUCAAUGACAAGCUAAGGUCUGUAUUCUGGUCGCACUUGGCAGAUACUAUGCUCUUGUAUUAUCAUGUGUAUCCUAUGCCGGUCAUAACACUUCCAUGCUCCUAAGGUGUUUCAUGUAUUGCCGGCAAGAGGAAGCCAGUAAUGGGAGUCGCUAGCGCCACAACCACAUGUCCAUUGUCAUGAGUUGGAAAAGGUGCACUCAUGUGCCCUCGUCUAGAUAGCGUAGCUGAAAUUCCAUGAACCACGAACUCUUAAUGCAGAAUUUGGAGUACUCCCAGAGUCCUAGAGGUACCUUUAAUUCACAGUGCAGUUUUCUUUUUACUUCUGUUCUUCCUGGUAGUUAGGCCAUGAGCCUCCCAUCAAGUAGGUGGCAGGGGCUUAGAAUGAAUAUAUAUGGCUUAAAAUAAUAUAUUUAAAUAUAUGGCUUAAAAUAAUUUUGGGAUCAGUGUGCCUCAAUGCUUGCUAUUUCUUCUCAAUGAUAAAAAACUCACUGGGCCAAUCAACCAUGUAACAAUCUUUCUUCAAGUAUGCUGAAUAAAUAUAUUGUCUCGCAUUCUCUUCACUAUUAUUGAAUCCUUUUGAUAGUUGGAUGUGUUCCCAGUUUCAAAUGAGUAUUGACUGCUGGGUGGUCGAGGUGGACAGGAGUGCAAGGUGCAACUUAAGCUAAGCACGGGACAUGCAAAAUAGAGACCACAAAAAGUCGGCACAUGCAAAAUAAACUGCAUAUCAGUUUCAUAAAAAGAGAAUUUUAGAGGUUACAAUAUAUAUUUUGAGUCAUAUAUUUAGUUUAUUGUAAUUAGUAGAGUUGUAUUAUAAUUGUUGAAGAUAUUGUGCGUCAUGUAUCCUUUGUCUUUGAAGAAAUUUAAUUCAAUUUUUAGUAAAAAGGAAUCCCAGAUUAUAUGUUUGUUGGCAUUGUGCGUUUGGCGUGUUGAGUUGUAAUGGUUAAGUCAAAUGCAGAG